rnacentral:ncRNA from 1 species
UAAAAUGCGUUGAUGAGAAGAAGUAGUGCGAUUUGUUCUGCAAAGAGAUGUGGCGGUUGGUGCGAGCCAUUCAGAACAGCGUAUGAAAUACAUCUCUGAGUAUCCCUUGUGAAGAUUAUUUAAUUGCGUAGUGGGGGACGAUUAGCACUCGUUAUUGUGCAACGGCUUUUGCCGUAAGGCUGUUCAUUUGCUGAACAGUGAAUGAGGUGGUACCGCGAUAUUCGCCCUCUGC